rfam:Bacteria symbiont BFo2 of Frankliniella occidentalis strain BFo2 contig351, whole genome shotgun sequence.
CCUUCGACAGGCCCAUACAGGAUUCUGAUUAAAACCCCGAUUUUUCGGGGUUUUUUAUUAUCAGAAAAGCGUUGUCAUACUGGGCGUUAGCCCUUUUUUU